rnacentral:snRNA from 1 species
AUAUUCACUUUUGUAGCACAUAUACUAAAGCUAAAAUAAUACAAAAAGCAUCACCAUGGUGCCUGCACAGGGAAGAGAGGCAAUUCCAUGAAGAAUUACAUAUUUAA